GACAAGUCUGGAACAAGUUGUCAUCAUCUUGUAACAAGGUUGGUUGGUCAGAGGAAAACAGACUCGCAACAAGUUGUUUGAACAAGUUUGAUAUCGUCUGCAUGUAACAAAUUGAUGACAACAAGCUCGUAGCAACUUGUUACGAACAGCCUGUAUUAGUCUUGUUGGACAACCUGUAGAAAGUCUGUUACCGUCAUCAACCUUGUAACAAGGUGAUAACAACUUGUUCCAGACUUGUC